CGAAAGCCGUAGUCGAUGGGAAACAGGUUAAUAUUCCUGUACCACCACGUGAUGCGAUGGAGGGACGGAGUAGGCUAGGUGAUCAGGGCGUUGGUUGUCCCUGUUCAAGGAUGUAGGCAGAGAGCUUAGGAAAAUCCGGGCUCUUAAUGCUGAGAUCUGAUGUCGAGUUUCUACGGAAACGAAGUCAUUGAUGCCAUGCUUCCAAGAAAAGCUUCUAAGCUUCAGUCACGUGGGAUCGUACCCGAAACCGACACAGGUGGUCAGGUCGAGAAGACCAAAGCGCUUGAGAGAACUUGGGUGAAGGAACUAGGCAAAAUGGCACCGUAACUUCGGGAGAAGGUGCGCCGGUGACGGUGAUGGACCUUGCGUCCUAAGCUGUUGCCGGUCGAAGAAACCAGGCCGCUGCGACUGUUUAUUAAAAACACAGCACUCUGCAAACUCGUAAGAGGACGUAUAGGGUGUGACGCCUGCCCGGUGCCGGAAGG
rnacentral:rRNA from 1 species